rnacentral:rRNA from 1 species
UACGUAGGGUGCGAGCGUUAAUCGGAAUUACUGGGCGUAAAGCGCGCGUAGGUGGUUUGUUAGGUUGGAUGUGAAAUCCCCGGGCUCAACCUGGGAACUGCAUCCAAAACUGGCAAGCUAGAGUAUGGUAGAGGGUGGUGGAAUUUCCUGUGUAGCGGUGAAAUGCGUAGAUAUAGGAAGGAACACCAGUGGCGAAGGCGACCACCUGGACUGAUACUGACACUGAGGUGCGAAAGCGUGGGGAGCAAACAGG